CUCUUCUUGAAUAUAUUUUGAUGUAUGGCCUGCCCACUGAGUUUUGAAGGGCCGCGGUAUUUUGACCGUGCAAAGGUAGCAUAAUCAUUAGUCUUUUAAUUGUAGGCUGGAAUGAAUGGUUUGACGAGGUGUUAACUGUCUUUAAUUUUUUUUAUUGAAUUUAAAUUUUAGGUUAAAAUGCCUAAAUGGUUUUUUGGGACGAGAAGACCCUAUAGAGUUUUAUAAAUUUUUAUUUUUUUGUAUGAAAAGUUGUAAUGUAAAAAUUUAUUUUAUUGGGGUGAUGGGAAGAUUAAAUUAACUCUUUUUAUUUUUUUAUAUUUAUAUAUAUAUAUUUGAUCCAUUUUUAUUGAUUAUAAGACUAAAUUACC
rnacentral:rRNA from 1 species